rnacentral:rRNA from 1 species
GGUGGAUGCCUAGGCAAUCAGAGGCGAUGAAGGACGUGCUAAUCUGCGAAAAGCGUCGGUAAGGUGAUAUGAACCGUUAUACCCGACGAUAUCCGAAUGGGGAAACCCAGUAUCCAAUGGAUACUAUCAUUAACUGAAUCCAUAGGUUAGUGAGGCGAACCGGGAGAACUGAAACAUCUCAGUACCCCGAGGAAAAGAAAUCAACCGAGAUUCCCCUAGUAGCGGCGAGCGAACGGGGAGCAGCCCAGAGUCUUAAUCAAUAACAGUGUCAGGAGAACGGUCUGGAAAGUCCGGCAGUAAAGGGUGAUAGCCCCGUAUCUGAAGAUGCUGUUGUUGUGAACUCGACGAGUAGGGCGGGACACGUGUUAUCCUGUCUGAAUAUGGGGG